rnacentral:rRNA from 1 species
CACGUAGGGUGCGAGCGUUGUCCGGAAUUAUUGGGCGUAAAGAGCUCGUAGGCGGUGUGUCGCGUCGGCCGUGAAAACCUGCAGCUUAACUGUGGGCUUGCGGUCGAUACGGGCAUCACUGGAGUUCGGCAGGGGAGAACUGGAAUCCUGGUGUAGCGGUGAAAUGCGCAGAUAUCAGGAGGAACACCAAUUGCGAAGGCAGCUCGCUGGGACGUUAACUGACGCUGAGACGCGAAAGCGUGGGGAGCAAACAGG